rnacentral:misc_RNA from 1 species
GAUGAAGAACGCAGCGAAAUGCGAUAAGUAGUGUGAAUUGCAGAAUUCAGUGAAUCAUCGAAUCUUUGAACGCACAUUGCGCCCCAUGGUAUUCCGUGGGGCAUGCCUGUUCGAGCGUCAUUUCAACCCUCAAGCCCCCGGGCUUGGUGUUGGGGAUCGGCGAGCCUCCGCGCCCGCCGUCCCCUAAAUCUAGUGGCGGUCUCGCUGUAGCUUCCUCUGCGUAGUAGCACACCUCGCACUGGGAAACAGCGCGGCCACGCCGUUAAACCCCCAACUUCUGAACGUUUGACCUCGGAUCAGGUAGGAAUACCCGCUGAACUUAAGCAUAUCAAUAAGCGGAGGA